rnacentral:rRNA from 2 species
GACGAACGCUGGCGGCGUGCUUAACACAUGCAAGUCGAACGAUGAAGCCCUUCGGGGUGGAUUAGUGGCGAACGGGUGAGUAACACGUGGGCAAUCUGCCCUUCACUCUGGGACAAGCCCUGGAAACGGGGUCUAAUACCGGAUAUCACUCCCACUCGCAUGGGUGGGGGUCGAAAGCUCCGGCGGUGAAGGAUGAGCCCGCGGCCUAUCAGCUUGUUGGUGAGGUAAUGGCUCACCAAUGCGACGACGGGUAGCCGGCCUGAGAGGGCGACCGGCCACACUGGGACUGAGACACGGCCCAGACUCCUACGGGAGGCAGCAGUGGGGAAUAUUGCACAAUGGGCGAAAGCCUGAUGCAGCGACGCCGCGUGAGGGAUGACGGCCUUCGGGUUGUAAACCUCUUUCAGGGAAGAAGCGAAAGUGACGGUACCUGCAGAAGAA